UACGGCCCCAUCACGGUGAAACAUCGGUUCCCGUACGAUUACCGAAGUUAAGCAAUGUCGAGCCUGGUCAGUACCAAAAUGGGUGACGUCUUGGCAAUGAUAUGUGCUGUA